rnacentral:rRNA from 1 species
CCUACGGGGGGCAGCAGUGGGGAAUCUUCCGCAAUGGACGAAAGUCUGACGGAGCAACGCCGCGUGAGUGAUGACGGCCUUCGGGUUGUAAAGCUCUGUUAAUCGGGACGAAAGGCCUUCUUGCGAAUAGUUAGAAGGAUUGACGGUACCGGAAUAGCAAGCCACGGCUAACUACGUGCCAGCAGCCGCGGUAAUACGUAGGUGGCAAGCGUGGUCGGGAAUUAUUGGGCGUAAAGCGCGCGCAGGGGGAGUGGUCAGUAUGUCUUAAAAGUUCGGGGCUUAACCCCGUGAUGGGAGGGAAACUGCCAAUCUAGAGUAUCGGAGAGGAAAGUGGAAUGCCUAGUGGAGCGGUGAAAGGCGUAGAUAUUAGGAAGAACACCAGUGGCGAAGGCGACUUUCUGGACGAAAACUGACGCUGAGGCGCGAAAGCCAGGGGAGCGAACGGGAUUAGAUACCCCAGUAGUC